GACGAACGCUGGCGGCGUGCCUAAUACAUGCAAGUAGAACGCUGAAGGAGGAGCUUGCUUCUCUGGAUGAGUUGCGAACGGGUGAGUAACGCGUAGGUAACCUGCCUGGUAGCGGGGGAUAACUAUUGGAAACGAUAGCUAAUACCGCAUAAUAGUAGAUGUUGCAUGACAUUUGCUUAAAAGGUGCAAUUGCAUCACUACCAGAUGGACCUGCGUUGUAUUAGCUAGUUGGUGAGGUAACGGCUCACCAAGGCAACGAUACAUAGCCGACCUGAGAGGGUGAUCGGCCACACUGGGACUGAGACACGGCCCAGACUCCUACGGGAGGCAGCAGUAGGGAAUCUUCGGCAAUGGACGGAAGUCUGACCGAGCAACGCCGCGUGAGUGAAGAAGGGUUUCGGAUCGUAAAGCUCUGUUGUAAGAGAAGAACGAGUGUGAGAGUGGAAAGUUCACACUGUGACGGUAUCUUACCAGAAAGAGACGGCUAACUACGUG
rnacentral:rRNA from 1 species